rnacentral:rRNA from 1 species
AACGAACGCUGGCGGCAUGCCUAACACAUGCAAGUCGAACGAGACCUUCGGGUCUAGUGGCGCACGGGUGCGUAACGCGUGGGAACCUGCCCUUAGGUUCGGAAUAACUCCCCGAAAGGGGUGCUAAUACCGGAUAAUGUCUUCGGACCAAAGAUUUAUCGCCUUUGGAUGGGCCCGCGUUGGAUUAGCUAGUUGGUAGGGUAAAAGCCUACCAAGGCGACGAUCCAUAGCUGGUCUGAGAGGAUGAUCAGCCACACUGGGACUGAGACACGGCCCAGACUCCUACGGGAGGCAGCAGUGGGGGAUAUGGGAAAAUGGGCGAAAGCCUGAGCCAACAAUGCCGCGUGAGUGAUGAAGGCCUUAGGGUUGUAAAGCGCUUUUACCCGCGAUGAUCAAGACGGUACCGGGAGAGAAAGCGCCGGAUAACUCCGUG